UUCUUGGUAAACAAAGAUGCUGCGUCAACCCAGGACUGAGGUUCCAAACAAUCUCGCCGUCUGACCAGUGACACUCAGACCUGCAGAUAACAAACCAGUCAAGGCCAGGACCAACAGGAGGUCUGAAAAGCACAGGCCUUCACCUUUCCUCAGCUGAUCAGCAGGAAGAAGCAGCACCGUUUAGUGUGAAUGUCUGCUUGCCUGCUGGCUUCCUCCCCCACUACCACGAAGGAGCCCGAGGAGGCCAGCACUCUGUGCUACUCACUUCCCCCAGUGUAGACAGGACUUGGCACAUGGCUUCUGGUUGCUUGGAACGGAAUCUUAGCUUUGCCACUUGAAGUAUUUCAGAAAGGCUUGAUUCCUUCACCAGGGGAGAUGUGGUGGAAGUCACAGACGCACUUGGAUGUAUGAGGAAUCUACGAGAAGGUGCCAGAGAGGAGGCUGUGUGGGACCCUGGGUGAAUGCCAGUCAAUCGGAAUUUUUAUCUGGAAACCUCCCUGUGAUUUGGAAACGAAGCUAGAAGCCAAGAGUUCUUGGCAAUGAGCAAGCUUUUCUGUUUUGGGGUACAAUUAUUUGGAUAUUUAAAAUAUCAGAAGGUCACAAGAAGAACGCUUUAUGGAGGUAGACACACUUGCAAUUGUGAAGUUCCCGUGUUCCGGAGGUGGAAAGAUGUCAGAGAGGGUCUUUGGAGCUCAAACACCAUCGCCUUUUAUUGUCUGUGAGCUUUGGGGAAACUUGCUGGCCAAGUCCCUGUGUCCUCACCUGGAAAACCGGCGGCUGUGUUGACUGAAUAAGUGAAGUCCAGUGGGACAAUGGAACAUGCCUGGGAACAGAGGAGAUGCUUAAAAUAACGGACACAGCCUCCCAUGGAGCAUUCACGAUGCCCCCGAACACAGAAUUCAGUUGCACCCGCGAUGCAUGAAGUUCAGCGAGACUCAGAGUGAAGCUCAAGGCAUUUUUGAUUCAUCUGGGAGAAGAGGCACUGCCUCUUUCUUUGGAUGCUGUGAUAGAUGGUGGUGUCACCAGGAACUGAUGUAGCAUUUUGUUACUGUAUGAUAGAAACCGGUCAGAGGACAAAACAAACAGAGCAUCAGGGCCGAUUCAGCAGAACACAAUUUGGGAAGCAUGAAAACAGGACAGCACCAAGAGGCCUAGUCGUGCUUUUCCCUGCCCAGCUGACCCUCCAGGACUUCAAACACUGACUGCGUACUCAGAUGUCUAUUUCCAGCCUGCCCUUCUCUGUCACUGUCCAUACUUUUACCAGGGAGGGCUCUUCCUGGAUUUAUCACUUGACUGCUGCCUUCCAGGACGCUCACCUGCAACUUCUCUGGAGUGAAAGAGACAGAACAUGCUGUUCUGGUGCUCGCUGUGCAGGAGCCCUGUCCAAUCUCCUGCUCUUCCAAUUGGACCUCUGUCCCCUCCGGGGGAUUCAGCAGUGCGUUUUUAAAGGGGAUCCAGCGCUGUCACCUGCCCGAUCUUGAUCAGCUAUUGCGGGUCAGCACUGGUUGCCAGAAUGCAAAAUAAAUGGCAGGAAGGAAAUUAACAGCAGGGCAAACUACACACCUUGAUGCAUCUCUUCCACACAGCUGGUUCUGGAGCCUCCAUUGGUGGAGAACACGCAUGUUAUCAAAUGAAGCUUAGAAGGAGGGCUAUCAAGUUUCCGGUUUAUUCCCCAGGUACUUUAUGGCCCAGACUGCCUUCUGGAUCAGGAAGAUACUGGAAGCUGUAAAACGCACAAAGCCAGGCUUUGUUGUCGCGUGAGCGUGUCCAAGGACCCUGGCCCUGAGUGUUGCCACCACGUGGCCCUGUCACGUGCUCCUCUGUUUUCCCCACUCCUCUUUCCGGGUCCAUCCCUGGAGAGAGGAUGGAAGAAGCCGGAGUGAAACCUGGCCGCCUGGGCCAGCUGCCCAUGCACGGAGGUGAGAGGCCGUGCUUCUCUGG